CCUACGGGAGGCUGCAGUGGGGAAUAUUGCACAAUGGCGGGAACCCUGAUGCAGCGACGCCGCGUGAGUGAAGAAGUAUUUCGGUACGUAAAGCUUCAUCAGUAGGGAAGCAAAAAGGACGGUACCUGAGUAAGAAGCCCCGGCUAACUACGUGCCAGCAGCCGCCGGAAUACGUAGGGGGCAAGGGUUAUCCGGAUUUACUGGGUGUAAAGGGAGCGUAGACGGCGAAGAAAGUCUGAAGUGAAAGGCCGCGGCUCAACCGCGGACCUGCUUUGGAAACUUUUUUGCUGGAGUACCGGAGAGGUAAGCGGAAUGCCUAGUGUAGCGGUGAAAUGCGUAGAUAUUAGGAGGAACACCAGUGGCGAAGGCGGCUUACUGGACGGUAACUGACGUUGAGGCUCGAAAGCGUGGGGAGCAAACAGGAUUAGAUACCCUUGUAGUC
rnacentral:rRNA from 1 species